rnacentral:rRNA from 4 species
AAAACUUUCAACAACGGAUCUCUUGGCUCUCGCAUCGAUGAAGAACGCAGCGAAAUGUGAUAAGUAAUGUGAAUUGCAGAAUUCAGUGAAUCAUCGAAUCUUUGAACGCACCUUGCGCUCUCUGGUAUUCCGGAGAGCAUGUCUGUUUGAGUGUCAUGA